UCCCUGGUGGUCUAGUAGUUAGGAUUUAGUGCUUUCACCACAGUGGCCCGGGUUCAAUCCCUGGCCUGAGAA
rnacentral:tRNA from 1 species